AUGGUUAAGCAAAAGAUUGUCCUCAAGUUAGCUCUGGACGACGAGAGGAAGAGGAGGAAGGCCUUCAAGGCCGCCGUUGGCAUGUCGGGCGUGACAUCCGCAACGAUGGAGGGGGACAAGAUCAUCAUCGUCGGGGACGGCGUCGACCCGAUCACGCUGACCACGAUGCUCCGGCGCAGCCUGGGCUACGCCGAGCUCCUCAGCGUGUCGUCCGGCGACGACAAGAAGAAGGACGGCUACGGCGCCGCCUACGGGUACGGCGGCGGCGAGAAGAAGGACGGCUACGGCGCGGCCUACGGGUACGGCGGGGGCGAGAAGAAGAAGGACGGCUACGGGUACGGCGGCGCCGACGGUGGCGGGAGCGGCAUGAGCUUCGGCGGCAAGGAGGGUGGCGGCUCCAAAGGUGGCGGCGGCGGCGGCGGAUACUCUCAGAACGCGGUUGCGCCGGUCACGUACCCCGCGUACCAGCAGUACAACGCCAUGCCGUCCUACCCGGUUUACUCCUACCCUGCUCCGGCUUAUCAGCAUCAAGAACAGGAUCCCGGCUGCAGCAUUAUGUAG
rnacentral:rRNA from 1 species